UACGGAGGGUGCAAGCGUUACUUGGAAUCACUGGGCGUAAAGAGCGUGUAGGCGGGUUGAUAAGUUCGAAGUGAAAUCCUAUAGCUUAACUAUAGAACUGCUUUGAAAACUGUUAACCUAGAAUAUGGGAGAGGUAGAUGGAAUUUCUGGUGUAGGGGUAAAAUCCGUAGAGAUCAGAAGGAAUACCGAUUGCGAAGGCGAUCUACUGGAACAUUAUUGACGCUGAGACGCGAAAGCGUGGGUAGCAAACGGG
rnacentral:rRNA from 1 species